rnacentral:rRNA from 1 species
GCGAGGCAGCAAUCCCAUAAACCGUGGCUCAGUUCAGAUCGUAGGCUGCAACUCGCCUACGUGAAGAAGGAAUCGCUAGUAAUCGCAGGUCAGCAUACUGCGGUGAAUACGUUCCCGGGCCUUGUACACACCGCCCGUCACACCAUGGAAGUUGGCCACGCCCGAAGUCGUUACUCCAACCCUUGUGGAGGAGGACGCCGAAGGUGGGGCUGAUGACUGGGGUGAAGUCGUAACAAGGUAGCCGUACCGGAAGGUGCGGCUGGAUCACCUCCUAA